AGAGUUUGAUCAUGGCUCAGAACGUACGCUGGCGGCACGCCUAACACAUGCAAGUCGAACGAAGUAGCAAUACUUAGUGGCAGACGGGUGAGUAACAUGUAGGUAUCUGCCCUUUGGCCUGGAAUAACACGAGGAAACUUGUGCUAAUACCGGAUAAGUCUUUACGGAGAAAGCUUUAUGCACCAUUGGAUGAGCCUGCACUUGAUUAGUUUGUUGGUGGGGUAAUGGCCUACCAAGACUGUGAUCAAUAGCUGAUUUGAGAGGAUGAUCAGCCACAUUGGGACUGAGACACGGCCCAAACUCCUACGGGAGGCAGCAGUGGGGAAUCUUGCACAAUGGAGGAAACUCUGAUGCAGCGAUGCCGCGUGAGUGAAGAAGGCCCUUGGGUUGUAAAGCUCUUUCGUCGGGGAAGAAAAUGACUGUACCCGAAUAAGAAGGUCCGGCUAACUUCGUGCCAGCAGCCGCGGUAAUACGAAGGGACCUAGCGUAGUUCGGAAUUACUGGGCUUAAAGAGUUCGUAGGUGGUUGAAAAAGUUGGUGGUGAAAUCCCAGAGCUUAACUCUGGAACUGCCAUCAAAACUUUUCAGCUAGAGUAUGAUAGAGGAAAGCAGAAUUUCUAGUGUAGAGGUGAAAUUCGUAGAUAUUAGAAAGAAUACCAAUUGCGAAGGCAGCUUUCUGGAUCAUUACUGACACUGAGGAACGAAAGCAUGGGUAGCGAAGAGGAUUAGAUACCCUCGUAGUCCAUGCCGUAAACGAUGUGUGUUAGACGUUGGAAAUUUAUUUUCAGUGUCGCAGCGAAAGCGAUAAACACACCGCCUGGGGAGUACGACCGCAAGGUUAAAACUCAAAUGAAUUGACGGGGACCCGCACAAGUAGUGGAGCAUGUGGUUUAAUUCGAAGAUACGCGCAGAACCUUACCAACACUUGACAUGUUCGUCGCGACUUUAAGAGAUUAAAGUUUUCGGUUCGGCCGGACGAAACACAGGUGCUGCAUGGCUGUCGUCAGCUCGUGUCGUGAGAUGUUGGGUUAAGUCCCGCAACGAGCGCAACCCUCACUUUUAGUUGCCAUCAUUAAGUUGGGCACUCUGAAAGAACUGCCAGUGAUAAGCUGGAGGAAGGUGGGGAUGACGUCAAGUCCUCAUGGCCCUUACGUGUUGGGCUACACACGUGCUACAAUGGUAUCUACAACAGGAAGCAAGACUGCGAAGUUAAGCAAAUCCUUAAAAGAUACCUCAGUUCGGAUUGCACUCUGCAACUCGAGUGCAUGAAGCUGGAAUUACUAGUAAUCGUGGAUCAGCGUGCCACGGUGAAUGCGUUCCCGGGUCUUGUAGA
rnacentral:rRNA from 1 species